rnacentral:rRNA from 1 species
UGUCUUUUUGAGAAUAAUAUAAGGUCUAAUCUGCCCACUGAUUUAAAUUGAAGGGCUGCAGUAUAUUGACUGUACAAAGGUAGCAUAAUCAUUAGUCAUUUAAUUGAUGACUUGUAUGAAGGAUUGGAUGAAAUAUAAACUGUCUCUUUAUUAAUAAUAGAAUUUAAUUUUUUAAUUAAAAAGUUAAAAUAUUUUAAAAAGACGAGAAGACCCUAUAGAGUUUUAUAAAUAAAAUAAUUAAGAUUAUUUAAUUUAAUAAAAUUAAGAUUAUAUUAUUUAUUUUGUUGGGGUGACAGAAAAAUAUAUUUAACUUUUUUUUUUAUUUAAAACAUUUAUAAGUGGUUAAAUGAUCCAAUAUUAUUGAUUAUAAGAAAAAAUUACCUUAGGGAUAACAGCGUAAUUUUUUUUUUUAGUUCAAAUAAGAAAAAGAGUUUGCGACCUCGAUGUUGGAUUAAGAUAAAAUUUAAAUGCAGAAG